GACGAACGCUGGCGGCGUGCUUAACACAUGCAAGUCGAGCGAGCGGAUUCCCUUCGGGGAUGAAGCUAGCGGCGGACGGGUGAGUAACACGUGGGCAACCUGCCUUAUAGAGGGGGAUAGCCUUCCGAAAGGAAGAUUAAUACCGCAUAACAUCAGAUUAUCGCAUGGUAGACUGAUCAAAGGAGCAAUCCGCUAUAAGAUGGGCCCGCGUCGCAUUAGCUAGUUGGUGAGGUAACGGCUCACCAAGGCGACGAUGCGUAGCCGACCUGAGAGGGUGAUCGGCCGCAUUGGGACUGAGACACGGCCCAGACUCCUACGGGAGGCAGCAGUGGGGAAUAUUGCACAAUGGGGGAAACCCUGAUGCAGCAACGCCGCGUGAGUGAUGAAGGCCUUCGGGUUGUAAAGCUCUUUGAUCAGGGACGAUAAUGACGGUACCUGAAGGACAAGCCCCGGCUAACUUCGUGCCAGCAGCCGCAGUAAAAC
rnacentral:rRNA from 1 species